rnacentral:tRNA from 1 species
GGGAAGGUAGUCUAGCUUGGUAUGAUUCCUGACUUGGGCUCAGGAGGUCAGGGGUUCGAAUCCUCUCCUUCCCACCA